UGUAGUGUGUGUUGAAGUGCCUCAACUAGGUCUACAGCCUUAGCUAAAUCAAGAGAAGGUGCCUGAAGCAUGUCUGAGAGCAACUUUGCUUCCCCAAGAAUUUUCUUGAAGAUGACAAGAAGACCAAUAAAGACCACUAAGAUAGUUCCAGAGAUUUGUUCCACCUUGCUGCCAGUGAAAUUUAUGAUCUUCCCAUUUAAAACCAGCUUCCUCCGAAGAGCAACAUGUUCUCCUUUCCCUUUCACAGGAUCUUCUAUCUGUUCCUGAGAGGACUGCCUGUUAUAUGUGACCUACCUUGCUGCCAGUACCAAUAUCUGCUCUUUCCCCCUCAAAUUUCCCCUUGUGGGACAAUGAAGAAUUGAAUAAAACUUUUAGCCUGCCUUCUAAGAGCAACAUGUUCCCCUUGUUAGUGAGUUCUCUAGGCUAACA